UAUUCAUCCUUUCCCCCACCACCCUUCCCCUAUACCCAGUAGUUGCAGCACUGCUACUAGCAGCUGCUGCAAUUUGCAGGUUCAUCUAUACGUACAACUUUUUUUUUCUUUAUCUACAUGUGUUUAUUUGUAUCUAUAUAUAUAUCUGUAUAUUGCCUUGUAUAUAUACUUAGAGCUGUGUAGGACACUUACAUAAAGUGUGAUUUGAUAUGUAGAGAGAAAAAGCAUUUCACUUUUUAGAGAGAGAAAGAGAAAGAGUCAUCUUCUUUAUGCAAUGCGGUGAGUGCGCAGUCGAACUAGAAAAAGGGUUUAUUAAAGAUGAUGUUUGAUCUAAAUACUGUGGAUAACGAUGAAGUCGGAGAAGAAACGACGGCGGUGCCGGUGUCGUUGGAUUCACCGGCGUCGUCUUCGUCGGCGGCGACUGGAAGUUCGGAUUUGACGUCGUCAACUACGCCGGCGGGGGCAUCGGUGUGUAUGGAGCUCUGGCAUGCGUGUGCUGGACCGUUGAUUUCGUUGCCGAAGAAAGGAAGUGCUGUUGUGUACUUACCUCAAGGUCACUUGGAGCAUCUCUCUGAGUACCCGCCGAUAGCUUGUGACCUUCCUCCUCAUGUUUUCUGCCGCGUUGUUGAUGUGAAGCUGCAAGCAGAUGUGGCGAGUGAUGAGGUCUAUGCACAAGUUUCACUAGUUCCUGACAAUCAGAUCGAGCAGAAAUGGAGGGACGGAGACAUUGAUGCAGAUGCUGAGGAGGAGGAAAUAGAAGGCACUGGAAAAUCAAUAACACCACAUAUGUUCUGCAAGACUCUCACUGCAUCUGAUACCAGCACGCACGGUGGUUUUUCGGUCCCUCGUCGUGCGGCAGAAGAUUGCUUUCCUCCCUUGGAUUACAGACAACAGAGGCCUUCACAGGAGCUGGUAGCCAAAGAUCUGCACGGCAUAGAGUGGAAAUUUCGGCAUAUCUAUCGGGGUCAGCCACGACGGCAUCUGCUCACUACAGGAUGGAGUGCAUUUGUAAACAAGAAGAAGCUUGUUUCUGGUGACGCUGUUCUUUUCUUGAGGACUGGUGAUGGAGAGCUUAGGUUAGGAGUGAGACGAGCUGCCCAAGCAAAAACAUGUUCUAGUUAUCUGGCUCCCUACAGCCAACUGUUGAAUGUCAGUGGUAUUGUAGAUGCCGUUAAUGCCAUAUCUAGCAGAAAUGCCUUCAACAUUUGUUAUAACCCAAGGGGCAGCUCAUCAGACUUCAUUGUGCCUUACCACAAAUUCUCUAAGACUCUUGCACAUCCCUUUUCAGCUGGAAUGAGGUUUAAGAUGCGUGUCGAAACAGAAGAUGCAGCUGAGCAAAGGUUCACUGGGCUUGUUGUAGGAGUCAGCGAUGUAGAUCCAGUUCGAUGGCCUGGUUCGAAAUGGAGGUGCUUAUUGGUUAGAUGGGAUGAUCUUGAUGUUUCUAGACAUAAUAGGGUUUCACCAUGGGAGAUUGAGCCAUCUGGUUCAGGUCCUGUAUCCAGCAGCUUGGGGAUGCCUUCUGCAAAGAGGACCAGGGUUGGAUUUCCAAUUUCAAAGGCAGAUUUUCCAAUUCCUAGAGAUGGAAUUGCAGUAUCAGACUUUGGGGAAUCUUCUAGGUUCCAGAAGGUCUUGCAAGGUCAAGAAAUUUUGGGGAUGCAUGCUCCUUAUGGUGGAAUUGAUGCUCGGAGUUCUCGUCCAGCGGGGAUAAGAUGCUUUCCUGGUUUUCCUAGCUCUGGGACAUCUAGAAUGGGAAACAGCAUCAGGCCCCUGCUUGGUGACAAUGACAAGUCCCAUGAAAGCAUUGGCUUUAGCGAAUCUCUUCGAUUCAAUAAGGUCUUGCAAGGUCAAGAAAUUUUUACCAGCCCUCCUUAUGGGAGAGCUCAAGCUGGUAUCCAAAUGCAGGAGAAAAGUAGGACCAGUAUUUUUGUCGGUAUUCAGGUUCCAAGCCUUGGAAAUAGGUGGUCUGGUCUUAAUCUGGAUAAUUGCACUCAGUGCAAGCGAAGUAACAUUGUCCCAGCAUCAUCACCACCUUCUGCACUCACUUUUCAGCAUCCAUGCCCUCCAGCUUCAAAGUUCCAGGCUACUUUCAAUCAUAAACAUGGGAAGCGCGAGACUGGCAACCGGGCUUCUUUAGAUAUGUCUGAGAACUGCACUAGGUAUCUCACAUCUGGCUCACAUACUGAGGACAUCAGUAGGAAGGAAGAUACUCAAGGAAUAGGUUCUUUUGGUUUCUUAAAGGAUCAAAAGCAAACAGGAAUUUCUCAUCUUUCUCUUGGGACACAGUCGUCACUCAAAGGCAAUCAAAACUUGGUUUCCAUGUGUAAAACCAGUUGCAGAAUCUUUGGAUUCCCCUUGACUGAGAGUAAAAUAAGUGCAACUGGAGCAGAGACUCCAGCUGUUGCUGUAUAUUCACAUGGUCUAGAAACAACGUUUCUCCCUUCAGGUGAUGGGAAGUUGCAGCCAGGGCCACCAUUGAUGACUGAUGUUGUGGGAACAAAUUUUACUAAAGUAAAUGACCUCUAUGCAGCAAGAGAUGUGCUUCUUGAUAUUGCUCUGUAGCAGGUGUUGGUUGUGAUGUCUUGCUAGCAUAUGUAGAUUGAAGGAUGUGUGUGCAGCAUUAUUGAUUCUUAGAUUUUAGUUGGCCUGUAAUCUUCUGGCUGUUGAGUGCGCAAGCAUUUAGUUGCCAGUAUAUUGCUUAUCCAGAGAUGAGAAUUGAGAGUUUUUAAUGAAGAUAGAUACCAUUGAGGAACGAAUGUGCUUGUAUGAAAAUUGGCAUGUAUGUUCCUCUGAUUUUGAUGUACUAUGAUGCAACAAUUGGAGAUUGUGUUGCUGCAUCAAGAUGUCUGUAUGAUAAUUGUGAUCUGUUUAAAAUUUGCCUAGUGGUCUUUCUUUUAGGUUUGAGAUAAUUUUUGUAUUUGUAUCCUGUACCUUCUCUAGCUUUUCUGUGAACUAACUCAAGCUCCUGUGAAAGCCGGUAAGUUUGUUGUAGGAGCUCAUCUCGUGAACACUAUUGUAAUCGUGAAGGAAUUUUCAUGUAUAGUCCUGUAAUUAAACAGGCUAAUAUGGUUUCCUGUUUGUUACUAUUACAUAAUCCUGCAUUCCUGAA